rnacentral:tRNA from 1 species
GCCUCGCUAGCUCAAUCGGUAGAGCGUCAGACUCUUAAUCUGAAGGUUGCGGGUUU